rnacentral:rRNA from 1 species
AUUGAACGCUGGCGGAAUGCUUUACACAUGCAAGUCGAACGGUAGAGGGGGCAACCCCUCGAGAGUGGCGAACGGGUGAGUAAUAUAUCGGAACGUGCCCAGUCGUGGGGGAUAACGUAGCGAAAGUUACGCUAAUACCGCAUACGAUCUAAGGAUGAAAGCGGGGGAUCGCAAGACCUCGCGCGAUUGGAGCGGCCGAUAUCAGAUUAGGUAGUUGGUGGGGUAAAGGCCCACCAAGCCAACGAUCUGUAGCUGGUCUGAGAGGACGACCAGCCACCCUGGAACUGAGACACGGUCCAGACUCCUACGGCAGGCAGCAGUGGGGAAUUUUGGACAAGGGACGCAAGUCUGAUCCAGCCAUUCCGCGUGCAGGAUGAAGGCCCUCGGGUUGUAAACUGCUUUUGUACGGAACGAAAAGGUCUCUCUUAAUACGGGGGGCUCAUGACGGUACCGUAAGAAUAAGCACCGGCUAACUACGUGCCAGCCGCCGCCGUAA